GCCGACCGUUACUCCGCUGAGGUAAUAAAAGAGGCCGCCCUAAUUGCAGUCAGCUGAGCCGGGCGAGCUGCGGCUUCGCUCCUGUCCACGCCUCCUUCCCUCGGGCACCUCGGUGGCUCUGCUGAAGGCGGGAGGGAUGGAGGUAACGCUUCACUGCUGGAAGAGGCCGGGCGGGUCUCUGAGGGCCGCCCCUCAGGUAGUAAACCGGUGCUGGAGUGCUCUGGUAAAGGAGAUGUCUGUCCGGUCCAGGACCUGCAGUCCCAUUUAAGCUGUGCUGCUGCGGUGGCUCUGUUGGUGAGGGUUCUCUACUCUACCCAAGCAGCGAUAGCUCUCUGCUUCACCUGGACUCGUGCUAUGGAUUCAGGAUCCUCUCAAGCAAUGGGAAAGGAAGCAAAAGGGAAACAAAGGACUUUUCCUGCCAGCUCUUGUCACAGGAAGACCUAUGCUCGAAGGGAACCACCCCCUUGA
rnacentral:lncRNA from 1 species